rnacentral:rRNA from 1 species
CCCCUAGAUGUUCUGGGCCGCACGCGCGCUACACUGAACAGUUCAACAAGUCUUAACCUUGGCCGAUAGGUCUGGGUAAUCUUUGAACGCUGUUCGUGAUUGGGAUAGACCUUUGCAAUUAUGGGUCUUUAACGAGGAAUUCCUAGUAAACGCAAGUCAUCAGCUUGCAUUGAUUACGUCCCUGCCCUUUGUACACACCGCCCGUCGCACCUACCGAUUGAAUGGUCCGGUGAAAUCUCGGGACGGCGGCUUGGUCGCUUGCGUCCGACUGCUGAAACUUGAUUAAACCAUAUCAUUUAGAGGAAGGUGAANUCGUAACA